rnacentral:rRNA from 1 species
GUAGGUGGCAAGCGUUGUCCGGAAUUAUUGGGCGUAAAGCGCGCGCAGGCGGUCCUUUAAGUCUGAUGUGAAAGCCCACGGCUCAACCGUGGAGGGUCAUUGGAAACUGGGGGACUUGAGUACAGAAGAGGAAAGCGGAAUUCCAAGUGUAGCGGUGAAAUGCGUAGAGAUUUGGAGGAACACCAGUGGCGAAGGCGGCUUUCUGGCCUGUAACUGACGCUGAGGCGCGAAAGCGUGGGGAGCAAACAGGAUUAGAUACCCUGGUAGUCCACGCCGUAAACGAUGAGUGCUAAGUGUUAGGGGGUUUCCCGCCCCCUUAGUGCUGCAGCUAACGCAUUAAGCACUCCGCCUGGGGAGUACGGCCGCAAGGCUG